rnacentral:rRNA from 1 species
UACGGAGGGUGCAAGCGUCAUUCGGAAUUACUGGGCGUAAAGCGCGUGUAGGCGGUCCUGCAAGUCUGAUGUGAAAGCCCCGGGCUUAACCUGGGAAGUGCAUUGGAAACUGCAGGACUUGAGUACUGGAGAGGAUGGGGGAAUUCCCGGUGUAGAGGUGAAAUUCGUAGAGAUCGGGAGGAAUAUCAGUGGCGAAGGCGCCCAUCUGGACGGUUACUGACGCUGAGACGCGAAAGCGUGGGGAGCAAACAGG